AAGUCGUUCACCCCGAUUCAGACAAUCUAGUGUCUGCGCGCGGCUGCCGGCUAACCCGGGAGUGAUCCGUGAUUGUAUUAAUAUCACAACACGCCCCACACGGGGUAUGCGGUAUUGGUCUCGCUAUUCUCAAGGUCAAAGGGAACGUCGCGUGAUACACCGAAAACGUAUAUAGAGCAUCCACUGGAGUCUCGCUAAUGGAACGGAUACCGAGAGAAAGAAUCAUGAGAGAGACGAGAACUAUUCGGAUUGGAAUAAAAAGGAAGGAUGUGUCGUCGAGAGUCUACGUUUCGGUUAACAGGAAAAAGAAAAAGAAAAAGAAAAAGAAAAAGAAAAAGAAGAAGAAGAAGACGAACACGAACACGAAUACAAAUACGAAUACGACGACGAAGACAAAGACAAAGACAACGACAACGACAUCGUCAGCGUCGAAAAAUCGAAGGACGUCGCGGCUCGAUAAAAGCCCAAAGACCGUACGAAGGGUUAAUUAUAAUUCGCGAAGAGAGAAGUCGGGUAGCGCGAUACUUCUGUACGAUGUGCCGAGGGAGACGAAUGACUACGAGGAAUCAUAGCGAACGUACGUAUGCGACGAGCUAACAGCUGUCGAGCCCAGGGAAACACGUACCAGAAACACGCGUUCCGCAGGAUUGCGCCAUGAACGGCGCCGUGUUACGGCCACGGUUGGAUUAUAAAAUCCCCUAUGGAGGAACUCUGUGUUUGCCGUUCCUCCGUUAAGAUAUAUGUAUACCGGAAAGAUUUAAUGUCUUUUGGGAGUGUCGAUAUCGUGUAUAAUGUCAAAAAGAAAAAAAGAAAAAAAAAAUAAAAAAGGGAGAAAAAAAGGAAAAGGAAAAAGAAAGAAAAAAGAAAAAGAAACGAAAACUACCAUCAAUUUCUUCUAAAUACUU